GACGAACGCUGGCGGCGUGCUUAACACAUGCAAGUCGAACGGAAAGGCCCUGCUUUUGUGGGGUGCUCGAGUGGCGAACGGGUGAGUAACACGUGAGUAACCUGCCCUUGACUUUGGGAUAACUUCAGGAAACUGGGGCUAAUACCGGAUAGGAGCUCCUGCUGCAUGGUGUGGGUUGGAAAGUUUCGGCGGUUGGGGAUGGACUCGCGGCUUAUCAGCUUGUUGGUGGGGUAGUGGCUUACCAAGGCUUUGACGGGUAGCCGGCCUGAGAGGGUGACCGGCCACAGUGGGACUGAGAUACGGCCCAGACUCCUACGGGAGGCAGCAGUGGGGAAUAUUGCACAAUGGGCGGAAGCCUGAUGCAGCAACGCCGCGUGCGGGAUGACGGCCUUCGGGUUGUAAACCGCUUUCGCCUGUGACGAAGCGUGAGCGACGGUAAUGGGUAAAGAAGCACCGGCUAACUACGUG
rnacentral:rRNA from 1 species